GAUGAACGCUGGCGGCGUGCCUAAUACAUGCAAGUCGAGCGAACAGACGAGGAGCUUGCUUCUCUGACGUUAGCGGCGGACGGGUGAGUAACACGUGGAUAACCUACCUAUAAGACUGGGAUAACUUCGGGAAACCGGAGCUAAUACCGGAUAAUAUAUUGAACCGCAUGGUUCAAUAGUGAAAGACGGUCUUGCUGUCACUUAUAGAUGGAUCCGCGCCGCAUUAGCUAGUUGGUAAGGUAACGGCUUACCAAGGCAACGAUGCGUAGCCGACCUGAGAGGGUGAUCGGCCACACUGGAACUGAGACACGGUCCAGACUCCUACGGGAGGCAGCAGUAGGGAAUCUUCCGCAAUGGGCGAAAGCUUGACGGAGCAACGCCGCGUGAGUGAUGAAGGUCUUCGGAUCGUAAAACUCUGUUAUUAGGGAAGAACAAAUGUGUAAGUAACUAUGCACGUCUUGACGGUACCUAAUCAGAAAGCCACGGCUAACUACGUG
rnacentral:rRNA from 1 species